UCCAGGGUCAUUUUGAUGACGUUGAAAGAGCACCUAUCUUGCCAUCUAAACCCCCUAAGGAGACCAAAGAGAUGGAUGAAAAUAAGAGUAAGAAGGGUCUUGCCGAGAUAUAUGAGGAAGAAUAUGCGCAGAAGACGGGUCUAGCUCCAGCUCUUCUUUCUGCUUCUGAUAAACUUAAGAUUGAGG